rnacentral:rRNA from 1 species
GCGCGAAAACUUUACAAUGCUGGCAACAGCGAUAAGGGAACCCCGAGUGCCAGGUUACAAAUCUGGCUGUCGAGAUGCCUAAAAAGCAUUUCAUAGCAAGGGCCGGGCAAGACCGGUGCCAGCCGCUGCGGUAACACCGGCGGCUCGAGUGGUAACCGUUAUUAUUGGGUCUAAAGGGUCUGUAGCCGGCCGGAUAAGUCUCUUGGGAAAUCUGGCAGCUCAACUGUCAGGCUUUCAGGAGAUACUGUCUGGCUCGAGGCCGGGAGAGGUGAGAGGUACUUCAGGGGUAGGGGUGAAAUCUUGUAAUCCUUGAAGGACCACCAGUGGCGAAGGCGUCUCACCAGAACGGACCUGACGGCAAGGGACGAAAGCUAGGGGCACAAACCG